GAUGAACGCUGGCGGCGUGCCUAAUACAUGCAAGUCGAGCGAACGGACGAGAAGCUUGCUUCUCUGAUGUUAGCGGCGGACGGGUGAGUAGCACGUGGAUAACCUACCUAUAAGACUGGGAUAACUUCGGGAAACCGGAGCUAAUACCGGAUAAUAUUUUGAACCGCAUGGUUCAAAAGUGAAAGACGGUCUUGCUGUCACUUAUAGAUGGAUCUGGGCUGCAUUAGCUAGUUGGUAAGGUAACGGCUUACCAAGGCAACGAUGCAUAGCCGACCUGAGAGGGUGAUCGGCCACACUGGAACUGGGACACGGUCAAGACUCCUACGGGAGGCAGCAGUAGGGAAUCUUCCGCAAUGGGCGAAAGCCUGACGGAGCAACGCCGCGUGAGUGAUGAAGGUCUUCGGAUCGUAAAACUCUGUUAUUAGGGAAGAACAUAUGUGUAAGUAACUGUGCACAUCUUGACGGUACCUAAUCAGAAAGCCACGGCUAACUACGUG
rnacentral:rRNA from 1 species